rnacentral:tRNA from 1 species
GGGGACGUAGCUCAGCGGGAGAGCACCUGCUUUGCACGCAGGGGGUCAGGGGAGGCAUCUCCCCA